rnacentral:rRNA from 1 species
UGAGCAAUCUGUCCUUCUCAUCGGAAUAAGCGUUGGAAACGACGUCUAAUGCCGAAUACGACCUCCUUUCGCAUGAUCGGAGGUGGAAAGCUCCGGCGGAGAAGGAUGAGCUCGCGGCCUAUCAGCUAGUUGGUGAGGUAACGCUCACCAAGGCAACGAUGCGUAGCCGACCUGAGAGGGUGAUCGGCCACAUUGGAACUGAGACACGGCCCAGACUCCGUACGGG